rnacentral:lncRNA from 1 species
UAAAAUAUCAUAAUAUUAACUAAUUUGAACAUUAUUUAAAUAUAUAUUUGUUACUUUAUACUAUCAUGUCUAAAAUUGACAUUUUAUUUCUCAAAAGCACUUUUUGACAGUAAUACCGAACACGAAAAUUUCUCAAAAGCACUUUUCAAAAGCAAUGAAGAACUGGCCCUCAAAGCUGUCAUGCGAGCCUCUGCCCAUGUCGAGUCGAAACUAUAAAAGGCUUUCAUCGCCAUUUUACCCAAGACCAUAUUGUCCUCGUCUCGUGCUAUACACCCAAGUCCGGUCGUACGCGUGCUAGCAUCCCAUGCAGCAUCAGCAUUAAUUUUCACAUGGCUCGGGCCUAGGGCUCGCCACCAUUCAACCUGCGGCUGCCUUGGCAGAUGAUCAUCAAAUUAUGGACACGAAACUUCUCAUGUAGUGAUAGCGCAAAGUUUAUUGGAGGAGGAGGAGGAGGAGGAGGGGAGUGAGGGUUUGAAAAUAGAAAGAUGAGAUGGGAGAAAAAAGUUAGAGAUUAGGAAUAAUGAAUACUAUACUUUUUUUUCCUUAAAAAAUCCUAUACCGAUGAAUGUGUAAACUUUAUCAAGGUAAAUUAGAUUUUUAUUGACGAAUUUGAAGUAAUCUCCAAUACAUCACACUCUAUGAUAGUUUUAACUUAUAUUGAUACUUAAUAAAUUGUGUUAGUAUACUCCCUUUUUAUUGACAAAUUUAAUCCACAUAUGUUUCAAUUAAUGGAAAAUUUUAAUAGUAUCACAUCAAACAAGUUUGAGGAUCACUAAUACUCAAAUCAACAGGUUUUUUUCAAUACAACUGUUCCUAUAACUCUUUGAAAUUUAUCACAGGAACUAAGAGAAGCAUCAGAAAUUAAUAUGGAAGAAAUAGCAAAGGGAACAACAUCCUCAGAAUACCUGUUUGCAUAGAACAAAGCUACCCUAAAAAGGAAAUGAACCGCCCUUUUAAUAUCCCACCACGUCCAAGGCAAUCUAAUUCAAUAAAUAUCUUAUCAAAAUGUUGAGCCUUUAAACUAAGAGUGUUGGACUAAAUACGUUAGCGAACAAAUAUAAAUAUAAAUAUUUAUAUUAAAUACAAGAUCAGAGCGAAUAAUAUAAACAAAUAUUUAUAUUUAUAUAAAAACACUAGAUCUAAACAAAAUAAAUUAAAUAAAUAAGAUAUUGAAAAAUCAUAAAUCGAAUGAGGGAAUCGAGUUUUAUUAGCUUGUUUUCACAGUUUCUUUAAGACAGAUUCAACUACCCCUAUUGUACUUGGAAAAACUCUACUUGUCUAUCUCCUAAAAUACUACAACAAAAUGAUCGCGGCAGUAGUACCUCUAUAGUGAUCACCGAACAAACCUUACCUUCUUCUAUUACCGUGACUGUGACCGUAAAUUCUACAAUCUUCGAAGGAGGGUGGUCAUUAUUCUUCCACAAGACCACCAAAAUAAGGUCCCGCUGCCGAAUAUCAGAAAUAGAUAACAUAGAAGCAAUAAAAUUCUUCACCGAAUCAGUUUGCACUACAACACCAAAGCAGUACAUGUUCAAGAGAUUCACUUCCUCCACACCUUAUCCAACUAUCAUCAACGAUACACCCUUUUGUCUUUCAAACGACCUUUGCAAGGAACAAAAUUACGAAUACACCGUCACAGAAAAUCCAACACCUUCGGUGGCAACUUAGCAGUCCAAAGCUUAAGCCAAGAAAAAUCCAUAUAAUGAUGGUUUCUUAACUUAUGUUGUAGUGUUAAAAAACUCUAGUGUACCAUAUGAUAAUAACAUUUGAUAC